AGAUAUUAAUACUGCAGGAGUCACUGGUUUGACCUACGCAGAAAUCAAUUUAAAGGGCAAAAAGAAAACCACAGGCAAAGGUGCUGGAUUUGCUGAUGUUCUGAUUGAAAUGAAGUAUAAGGAAAAACAUGGCGGGAUGAGCAGUGAGUCUGGAGACACAUUAUAUUCUGAAUUAAAGCACAACACAGAUGGAGGUGCUGAUGCUGGAGGUGAUGCAACAUAUGCUCAAGUUUUGAGUAAGAAGAAGAAGAAAACACGUCUGUGAGUGCAGUGAUGAAAACAGACGCCAGAAGAGAUGAACACCAGCGCUCGCUUUGCUUCAGAAAUGACUCUGAGUGAACUGCUUCUGCA